rnacentral:rRNA from 1 species
AUACGGAGGGUGCAAGCGUUAAUCGGAAUUACUGGGCGUAAAGCGUACGUAGGCGGUUCGUUAAGUUAGAUGUGAAAGCCCCGGGCUUAACCUGGGAACUGCAUUUAAAACUGGCGAACUAGAGUUGAGUAGAGGGGAGUGGAAUCUCAGGUGUAGCGGUGAAAUGCGUAGAGAUCUGAAGGAACACCAGUGGCGAAGGCGACUCCCUGGACUCGAACUGACGCUGAGGUACGAAAGCGUGGGUAGCAAACGGGAUUAGAAACCCCAGUAGUCC